rnacentral:rRNA from 1 species
CCUACGGGUGGCAGCAGUGGGGAAUAUUGGGCACUGGGCGCAAGCCUGACCCAGCAACGCCGCGUGAAGGAAGAAGGCUUUCGGGUUGUACACUUCUUUUCUGAGGGACGAAGAAAGUGACGGUACCUCAGGAAUAAGCCACGGCUAACUACGUGCCAGCGGCCGCGGUAAUACGUAGGUGGCAAGCGUUAGCCGGAUUUAUUGGGGUUAAAGGGCGUGUAGGCGGGAACUCAAGUCAGAUGUGAAAACGCAGGGCUCAACCGUGAGCCUGCAUUUGACACCGUUUUUCUUGAGUGCAGUAGAGGCGAGCGGAAUGCGGGGUGGAGCGGUGAAAUGCGUAGAUAUACGGAGGAACACCAGUGGCGAAGGCGGAUUGCUGGACAGUAACUGACGCUGAGGCGCGAAAGCGUGGGGAGCAAACAGGAUUAGAUACCCUUGUAGUC